rnacentral:tRNA from 1 species
AAAUAUUUAGGUUAUUUUUAAACCUUUGACCUUCAAAGUCAACAUUCUUUUUUUUAAGAGUAUUU